rnacentral:rRNA from 1 species
AACUUUGCAUGCGCGAAAGCGCGACAAGGGGAUUCCAGUGCAUGCACUAAGUGUAUGCUUUUCGUGAGUGUAAAAAGCUCAUGGAAUAAGGGCUGGGUAAGACUGGUG